UACAAUUGGUAUUGUGUUUGAUAUCUAGUAAUGAAUCUAGAGACACCUUGAUAAUGUCAUGUGGAUAAUCUGCAUUGCUGAGAUCUGACAAAAGCAAAGGAAUUUUUCAGAGUUAGAUUCACUGAUUUUGGAUCUCAUUUGAGUGUUGUUGUUCAUUUUCACUUGCAUUUUCUUCAAGCAAGAAAUAUUGUUAUCUCUUAUAGGACUAUAGAAUGCU